AAUGAAUGCAUUGUGUGUUUCUGUGUGUGUAAGGGAUGCAUUGUGUGUAACGGUUGCAUUGCUUGUGUAUGUGUGUCUGUGUGUGUAAUGCAUUGUGUGUUUUUCUGUGUGCAAGGGGUGCAUUGUGUGUAUGUGAUGAAUGUCAAUCUCUCCUCCCGCUCCAAUUUCCUUCUCCUCCUCCCAAUUUCUCUUUCUCACCCCCCUCCUUUCU